rnacentral:rRNA from 1 species
GACGAACGCUGGCGGCGUGCUUAACACAUGCAAGUCGAACGAAGUGGCGAACGGGUGAGUAACGCGUAAUCAACCUGCCCUUCAGAGGGGGACAACAGUUGGAACCGACUGCUAAUACCGCAUACUGAAGGAGGGGUUUGCGUCGGAUUGGCUGGUUGGAGGGGUAACGGCCCACCAAGGCGAUGAGCAGUAGCCGGGCUGGGGAGGUGACCGGGCACAUUGGGACUGGGACACGGCCCAGACUCCUACGGGAGGGAGCAGUGGGGAAUCUUCCGCAAUGGACGAAAGUCUGACGGAGCAACGCCGCGUGAGUGAUGACGGCCUUCGGGUUGUAAAGCUCUGUUAAUCGGGACGCGGUACCGGAAUAGAAAGCCACGGCUAACUACGUGCCAGCAGCCGCGGUAAUAC